UUUAACGAGGAUCUAUUGGAGGGCAAGUCUGGUGCCAGCAGCCGCGGUAACUCCAGCUCCAAUAGCGUAUAUUAAAGUUGUUGCGGUUAAAAAGCUCGUAGUUGGAUUUCUGUCUUCGGCCGGGCGGUGCCGCCUGAUAAUCAAGGGCGCGCACUGCUUUGGGAGCGUUGGUGUCAAAGCCGCGCUCUUUUAACGGUCGGACAAUACCACCGGAGUGGUGACGGGUCGGCGGGGUUGGCUUUUAUCGGCCUUCACUGUCGGCUCCCACCCGUAAUCGUCCGAGGUGCUCUUAACCGAGUGUCUCGGGCGGCCGGUAACGUUUACUUUGAACAAAUUAGAGUGCUCAAAGCAGGUGCUUGCUCGCCUGAAUAUCACAGCAUGGAAUGAUGGAAUAGGACCUCGGUCUUAUUUUGUUGGUUUUCUCUAGACCCGAGGUAA
rnacentral:rRNA from 1 species